GACGAACGCNGGCGGCGUGCUUAACACAUGCAAGUCGAACGGAGCUAUUUAUUUCGGUAGAUAGCUUAGUGGCAAACGGGUGAGUAACGCGUAGGCAACCUGCCCUCAGGAUGGGGACAACGGCUCGAAAGAGCCGCUAAUACCGAAUGACGUAACUCUUCCACAUGGAAGAGAUACUAAAGAUGGGUCAAACCAUCGCCUAAGGAUGGGCCUGCGUCUGAUUAGCCAGUUGGUGAGGUAACGGCUCACCAAAGCGACGAUCAGUAGCCGGUCUGAGAGGAUGAACGGCCACAAUGGGACUGAGACACGGCCCAUACUCCUACGGGAGGCAGCAGUGGGGAAUCUUCCGCAAUGGGCGAAAGCCUGACGGAGCAACGCCGCGUGAGUGAAGAAGGUCUUCGGUUCGUAAAGCUCUGUUGUCGGGGACGAAAGAGUAGACGAGGAAAUGCGUCUACUAAGA
rnacentral:rRNA from 1 species